rnacentral:rRNA from 1 species
CGGAACGGUCGCGUAACACGUAAGCAACCUGCCGAAAGACCGGGACAACAGUUCGAAAGGGCUGCUAAUACCGGAUGUGCCCAUGCUUUCACCUGGGAGCAUGGGUAAAGCCUCGCAAGGGGGCUUUCGGAGGGGCUUGCGGCCUAUCAGGUAGUUGGUGGGGUAACGGCCUACCAAGCCAUCGACGGGUAGCUGGUCUGAGAGGAUGGUCAGCCGGACUGGGACUGAGAGACGGCCCAG